AACGAACGCUGGCGGCAUGCCUAACACAUGCAAGUCGAACGAGACCUUCGGGUCUAGUGGCGCACGGGUGCGUAACGCGUGGGAACCUGCCCUUAGGUUCGGAAUAACUCCCCGAAAGGGGUGCUAAUACCGGAUAAUGUCUUCGGACCAAAGAUUGAUCGCCUUUGGAUGGGCCCGCGUUGGAUUAGCUAGUUGGUAGGGUAAAAGCCUACCAAGGCGACGAUCCAUAGCUGGUCUGAGAGGAUGAUCAGCCACACUGGGACUGAGACACGGCCCAGACUCCUACGGGAGGCAGCAGUGGGGAAUCUUGGACAAUGGGCGAAAGCCUGAUCCAGCAAUGCCGCGUGAGUGAUGAAGGCCUUAGGGUUGUAAAGCUCUUUUACCCGGGAUGAUAAUGACAGUACCGGGAGAAUAAGCUCCGGCUAACUCCGUG
rnacentral:rRNA from 1 species